rnacentral:rRNA from 1 species
GACGAACCGUGCAAACGUUUGUUCGGAAUCACUGGGCUUAAAAGGGCGCGUAGGCGGCCUGCUAAGUCAUACGUGAAAUCCCCAGGCUUAACCUGGGAACUGCGUCGGAUACUGGUUGGCUUGAAUUCGGGAGAGGGGAUGCAGAAUUCCAAGGUGUAGCGGUGAAAUGCGUAGAUAUCUGGAGGAACACCGGUGGCGAAGGCGGCGCUCUGGACCGAGACUGACGCUGAGGCGCGAAAAGCGUGGGGGAGCAAACAGGGAUUAAGAA